rnacentral:tRNA from 1 species
AAGAGAGUGCUGUGUCUUAAAAUACAGCUUUUUGAGGUUGACAACCUCACGUCUUUAACUCAGACCAACUCCCU